UCGUGGUUGAAGCAGUCAUACAGGAAUUUUUAUUCCUCUAAACAGCUUUAGGGAAAGUCCCCGGACUCUUGCGUCUUGAUCUCCAUGGAGAUUGGGACAGGCGGUAACGUGCUGACUUGAAGAAUCAGCGGUUUCAUUAAUGGCGCUAGUUUUUCCUUUAGCCUUUGUACUUUAAACCUCAAGAGAUAUAACUCCUUGUCCAGAAUGGAGUAGAUAAGGAAUACAGUCUAUGAGUUGUGUUUCUUGAGCGUCUAGUGUACGAACGGUAUGGUUGAUUACGCCAUUUCUGAAUUGUGGUUUUUCGUCGUAGUUGAUAGUUAUACGGUCGCAUCCAUUUGUUGAUGUAUCACAAUGGGGCUUAGUCUCGUGCUCAAAGGUUUUUUUCCUUAAAGAAAAAGGUUUGAAAAUUUGGUUUACUCUGUCGGAGUGCUUGUUCGAAUCAAGCCAGACCUACUUUUAGUUAGCAUAUUAUUAAAUGUAGCUUUUCCCAAAAUAUGAUGAUCGACAAAUACAAAGAGUCAAGCACUGAAACGCGAUAGCGUCUUGUUGAGUUAUUUGGUCUGAUUUUGGUAUUCAUAUAAGUUUUUUGUUUCUAGAGCUGUUUUACGUUAUUUAAUGAAUUAUGUUUUCUUGUAA
rnacentral:misc_RNA from 1 species